rnacentral:rRNA from 1 species
GAUGAACGCUGACAGAAUGCUUAACACAUGCAAGUCCACUUGAACUUCGGUUUGGGUGGCGGACGGGUGAGUAACGCGUAAAGAACUUGCCUCACAGCUAGGGACAACAUUUGGAAACGAAUGCUAAUACCUGAUAUUAUGAUUUUAGGGCAUCCUAGAAUUAUGACAGCUAUAUGCGCUGUGAGAGAGCUUUGCGUCCCAUUAGCUAGUUGGAGAGGUAACGGCUCACCAAGGCGAUGAUGGGUAGCCGGCCUGAGAGGGUGAACGGCCACAAGGGGACUGAGACACGGCCCUUACUCCUACGGGAGGCAGCAGUGGGGAAUAUUGGACAAUGGACCAAGAGUCUGAUCCAGCAAUUCUGUGUGCACGAUGAAGUUUUUCGGAAUGUAAAGUGCUUUCAGUUGGGAAGAAAAAAAUGACGGUACCAACAGAAGAAGUGACGGCUAAAUACGUG